CUGGGAGGCACUGGCUUGGGGUGGGGAGCGGGAGGGUUGGGCAAGGGGAGACCGAGGAAAAGGCAACCGCUCCAGAAAAAUGACAUCAGUCAUGGCCAGGAGGAAGACUACACAGAGAUGUUUAGAAGACUGAACAGCGACUUGUAAAGAUACUGAAGGGGACGAGGGCUUCGGAGGGCUGGGACCAGCGACUGGCAAGACAGAGAGAGAUCACAAGUAGGCAGAGAGGCAGAGAGGAGGAAGCAGGCGCCCUGCCGAGCAGAGAGCCCAAUGCAGGACUCGAUUCCAGGACCCUGAGAUCACGACCGGAGCUGAAGGCAGAGGCUUAACCCACUGAGCCACCCAGGCAUCCUAGGACUUGUGUUUUCUUGUAGUGUGCGUUCGGUUUCCAGUGAACACAGGAAACUCACCGGGACUCUACGCCCAAGACUCCGUGUUGAAGCUGCAGUUUUGAACGACGAUGUUGCUUCUCUGUUUCUGGAGAGCUCAAAAGCCAUUGCUUGGGAGAAGAACCCCUUAAGACCCACACUAGAAAGGCCAACAUCCUCGCAUCACAGAGAAGGUAAAAACAAUGUAAGAACUACCUGGAGUACAAAUGCUGUAUGUGGUAAAAUAGGAUCAGGCCUCCUGGAAUACAGACCUUUGUAAUAGUGGUUCUCAAAACUGGAUGCACAUUAGGUUCACCUGAGAAGUUUUACAAAUCCUGACACCCAGACCAAUUAUGUUAGAACCUCUGGCUGUGGGACCCCUACAUUGGUAUUUUUAAAAACUCUCCAAAUGACUUUAAGGGGCAGCUACCUUGGAGAGCGACAGUUCUGUGGCCUUGACCCUAUAGUGUGUUUCCCGGAUGGGCAACAUUAGCAUCAUCUGGUGGUUUUUUAGAAAUGAAAAAUCUCAGUUUCUACCCUGACCAGUAAAUCAGAUUCUACAUUUUAACAAGAUCACAAACUGAUUUGUAUGCACAGUAAACUUCGAAGACCAGCUUUCCUAUUUAAAAUGUAAAAGAAAUAACUCUCUGCUGAUACAGAUAAUUUUUUAAUAUAUUGAAAAUAAAAGCAGGAGAUCAAAAUUAUCCAGAAUCUCACCAUUGUUAUUUUCUGCAUAUCUCUAUAAAUAACACUAUUAUACAUGUGCUUUGUAUUUUAUGUACAUUAUUCAGGUCAUACUUUUUAUAUAGUUUCAUGCCCUGUCUUUUUUUUUUUUCAUGCCUUGUCUUUUAGUUAUUUAUUUUAGUCGUUACUGUACCACAGAACAUGAUUUUGUGAAAAGUUUUUCAUGAUGGAUUGAAAAACUUUUGGUAGAAAGUCCUACAUUGUGUUUAUUAGUCACAUGUAAUAAAGAUCAAUCAGAAUUUAAAAUUUACUUUUAACACUCUAUUUGAAGUCACCAGUAUUACAAUAUAUUUAAAAAAUCCCACUCAUAUCUGAUCCUAGUGGGACAUGCUACUGGUCUAAGCCUCUUGCUUAAGACAACAAAAAUGCAGUGAGGACAAGUCUUCCAUGAUCAGUCUAAGACAAAGUAGCCUUAUCCUGCAAAUAACCAUCAUGGCAAAAUAAUUUCCAUUUGUUAUGUUUUGUUAUUCCCAGGUGUCUUCAUGUUUCCAAAAAUUCUUCAAUGCACACAUAAAGUUUGUUCUAAAAAUCACUGUUAAUGCUUCUGGAAGGAAGGUGAAGGGGGUUAAUAUGAAGCAGUUGUGGUAAAAAGAGAGUUUUAUCAAAUCGGCCUUUCUAUUUUUAUGGGCUGUUGAAUUUUAUGGGCUUAUAAUAUGUAUCUGAGGAAUUAUGAAGUGAAAGAAAAUUGUUUGAAUAACACUUUAGACUGGCUGUCACUGUUUCUUUGUGCUGAGGUGAAUGCAGACUCAGGACUGGUGACUUGAUCAAUGAGAUAAAGGGCCAAAAAAAAAAAAAAAAAGAGAGAGAGAGAGAGAGAGAGAAAGGGCCAGAGGAUCACAGGAUUUGGGGAAAGACCAUCCAGGUUGUUGCCUGUUGCCGCGGAGUAAUUUUAUAUAUUCUCUUUCACCUUUAAGAAUGUGUUGAUUUAGAAAUAAAAGUAUUUGCUGGGGAGCCUGGGUGGCUCAGUCGGUUAAGCGACUGCCUUCAGCUCAGGUCAUGAUCCCAGAGUCCUGGGAUCGAGCCCCGAGUCAGGCCCUCUGCUCAGUGGGGAGCCGGCUUCUCCCUCUCCCUCUGCUGCUCUGCCUGCUUGUGUUUCUCACUCUCUCUGUCAAAUAAAUAAAUAAAAUCUUAAAAAAAAAAAAAAAAAGGAAAUAAAAGUAUUUGCACACACAACACACCAAAACCAACUUUAUCAUUUUAUAGAGGGAAUUCUGAAGGGAUCCACUGUAUUAUUCCUUGCUCAAAAAACCAAACAAAAAGUCCCAACUAACCAACCAACCCAACAAAGAAAACAAACCAUAACAACCACAAAGGAAACUUUUAAUGGCUCUUUACUGUCUAUGGAUCAAGCUCAAGCGCUUUAGGGAAGAACUCAGCGGCUUCUGUGUUCUGGGCCCUGUUUACCUCUCUGGUCUUCCCCGUCUUUCUCUCUCACUUUUGCUCCUUUCACCCCUCGUUCUCGCUUUCUGUCAUAUAUUUACAUGUACAAACUGAGCUGGUUAGUAGAGAGACACCUAGGAAACGGACUUAGUGUAAGUCAUGCCAUUUUUAUAAAAAGUGGGCAUUUUGUAACACAGUCAUGUUACUAUACCCAUGUCAUUGCAACCUUAACUAAAAAACCGCAAAAUACUCCAGACAUAACAAUUUCAGGAAAUGUACCCCUACCCUAAAUGUCUGCUUCACCCAGCAUUUUUGCUUCUGUACUGCGAUUGGCAAUUUUAGAAACUGGCAACAGAAUGUGGUUUAUGUCUUUAUAAGUGUACCCUUGAGCUCAUUCGGGGCUACGAGAUUUUGGAGUGCAUGAGUCCCCUCACA